rnacentral:misc_RNA from 1 species
GAUGAAGAAUGCAGCGAAAUGCGAUACUUGGUGUGAAUUGCAGAAUCCCGUGAACCAUCGAGUCUUUGAACGCAAGUUGCGCCCGAAGCCACUAGGCCGAGGGCACGCCUGCCUGGGCGUCACACGCCGUUGCCCCCCCAUCUACUCCUUCGGGAUUGCGGGGGGGCGGAUGAUGGCCUCCCGUGCGCCUAGCCGCGCGGUUGGCAUAAAUACCAAGUCCUCGGCGACGCACGCCACGACAAUCGGUGGUUGCGAAACCUCGGUUGCCCGUCGUGUGCGUUCGUCGCGCAUCGAGGGCUCGAAAAAAUGCUCGGCUCCGGCUGGGCUUUCAACGCGACCCCAGGUCAGGCGGGGUUACCCGCUGAAUUUAAGCAUAUCAAUAAGCGGAGGA